UACAGAGGUCUCAAGCGUUGUUCGGAUUUACUGGGCGUAAAGGGUGCGUAGGUUGCUUAAUAAGUCUGGUGUGAAAUCUUCGAGCUCAACUCGAAAACUGCAUUGGAAACUGUCGAGCUAGAGGGUUGGAGAGGGGAUUGGAAUUCUCGGUGUAGCAGUGAAAUGCGUAGAUAUCGAGAGGAACACCAGUGGCGAAGGCGAAUCUCUGGACAACUCCUGACACUGAGGCACGAAAGCUAGGGGAUCAAACAGG
rnacentral:rRNA from 1 species